rnacentral:lncRNA from 1 species
UAGGCCAGGUGGGAAUGCGGGCGAAUUGCUUUUUGGCAAAGAAAGUAAAGUGGGGGUCAGCACAGUGGGCCCAUUUUAUUUAUUAUUUAUUUAUUUAUUAUUAUUUAUUUAUUAUUUUCUUAACCUGGCGUUCCCACCAUUCUCACCUAUCUGUUCCGUUACAGAGAUAGGACCCAACCGGAGGACCAGUCUGGCCCUGGUCUCCAUCCUGCAGGAGCCCUGAGGAGCGCGCGCCGGGUUGGACUGGACAGCAUCCCCACUGCUUUGUGCUGAGGAGACCUGUAGUGCCCCAGGGCGACCUGACGCUCUUCAGGGAGCCAAUGCUGGACUGCAGGAGGAAGAGCCCAGCAGGCCAGCUCCCGCCCACCCCAACCAAGGAGCAGAGUCUUGCAGAUGGGGUUUCCUGCUGGCCACUCUUCGGCUGCCACCCUGCCUUUCCCCGCGGCUUGCUGGCACGCUCACUUACGGAGGCGCUCUUGGUAGGGUGGGGACUGUCCUGGGUAUGGACAGUUCUCCCACACUAACUGUCCACACCCAGGACAAUCUCCACCCCACCGAGAGCACCUCCGGAAAGUCCUGAUAACUCUAGUUUUCUUCGGAGCGUGUAAAUCUAUUUGGCCUUUUACCCAAAAGCGCCCUGAGUCCUCCUCCCUAGGCAGACCCGGCACCGCUGCCCUUCCAGAGCGCCGAGGCGCGCGGGCAAAGCACCUGCGCCUUGCAGUGGGAGGGGCGCCCGGGACGCUCAGCCAGGCAGCUUCUGGCUGCGGGGCGGUGAGCAGGGCGUGGCGACCCCUGCCGGCCCGAGUAGGCUGGGGCGGGCCCUGGGGGGCGUCUCUCAGGGCCAGGUCUGGAAGCGCGGAGAGGCUUGGUCCAUCUGCGCAGCCAGGUGCGAGCUGCCGGCGGUUGGGUAAAGUGUCACUACCGAGCCCAGGCCGAGCGCUAUAGGAAUUUCAAACGCUUUACAAGUGUUGUGGUCUUCACUACUCCUUGAAUUAGCCCGCUCCUUCCCUCGCUGGAGUCCAGAGCCUCUCCUCUGCACCCCGCCCUCUGCAGGAGCCCUCCACCAGGCUUUGCACCUGGAGCCUGACGACACCUGCUUCUCGCCUCCGCCCCGUCCCGGCGACUUGCUGCCUCUCUUGGGCACGUGGGGACCAGCGGAUUCUGACAGCUCUGGGUGGAAGAAAGUGGAGGCUGCAGGACCUGGGGCCAUCUGGAGAAGGGGACACGGGACAGCACCUUUCCUCAGCUGCGGAACCACCCACCAGAGACCAAGGUGCUGGAGCAACGAGGGUAAAUGGCCAAAUCCUGUCUCACCCAGGAACAGAUCAGGCCAGAGCUCAGUGUGGGUACGGCCUGACCUCGGAGCCUGGUUCCCUUGAGCUGAGGAGCAGUUACAUCUUGGUGGUAAACAGUGGGAUCCUUGGGGAAAUGCUUUCUGAAAAAACACACUUGCACAGAAAGGAGAGAAAGCCUGUGAACCUGUAAAAGAAUAAAGACUGCUUUUCAUUUUUGUGGCAAAUCUGUGAAGGUGAAUGAAUCCCAGAGAACUCACCUGCCUAGGCACACCUGCUGCCUGGAUGUUUUCUCAGGGAGCCUGCACGGCAGGUUUGAGAGGACGGGAAGGGGGAACUGGGCCAGAUCCAGGCCGACCUGAGGGCCGGGGAAAGAGCCUGGAAAGAACCGCCCUAGAGAGGACCGGAAGCAGGUUCUCCAGAAGCACUGCCAGCCCCACUGGAGGAGCAGUCUCUGUGAAGAAAGUAACUUCAGCCACAUCCAGGCCAUCUGGGCUGGAGAUGCAGGAUAGGUCCAGGGUCAGGCGACAGGGGCUCACUCCUAUCUGAAGACCUCGCCUGGGCUCCCUAACCCUGGUUGACCUUCUCACAACAGGCCCCGGGCCAUCCAACUAAUGAACCACUGAAAUGGAGAGCUGCCUCUAGCUGCACUUUGGCCCUUGUGGGGAAGAUAAGAGAAGACAAGGUCUUCUGGACUUAGGAGGAAGAAGAGGGUGGCAGGGUCCAGGGUCCGAAGGGUCCAUGUGACUUGGACCAAAGUUCUCUGCCAAGAAGGCAGCUGGCCACAGUGCCUUCCCCUCUAUCCCAGGGGCAGUCCAGACAUAGGCCAAAGAGUAAGGCCAAGUUUGGGGGAAACAAGGUUUAUAAUCCAG